CACAACUCCCGGCACGUCAUUUUCAGAUCACCGCGGACUUUCGCUACUCUGGUUAAACAAAGACACAGAGGACGAAGUUCGAGAGGUCAUCAGGAACAACCUACGUUUACAAGGAAAGUCAGAGGACCCAGCAAUUCGUUGGCAGAUGGCUCUGUACAGAGACCUCCCAAACCACUAUGAGGAUACUACUGACCCAGAGAAGACUGUGGAGAGAAUCCUGGAUAUUGGUCAUGUCCUCUUCCACCUGGAGCAGGUGGAGCAUCCUCAGCGCAGUAAGAAGGCUGUGUGGCACAAACUGCUUUCAAAACAGAGGAA